rnacentral:sRNA from 1 species
CGAUAGUGCCGCGCUACACCUUCCCCCGGA